AUUGAACGCUGGCGGCAGGCCUAACACAUGCAAGUCGAACGAGUGGCGGACGGGUGAGUAAUGUCUGGGAAACUGCCUGAGGGAGGGGGAUAACGACUGGAAACGGUAGCUAAUAACGCAUACCAUCGGAUGUGCCCAGAUUGGAUUAGCUAGUAGGUGGGGUAAAGGCUCACCUAGGCGACGAUCCCUAGCUGGUCUGAGGGGCUGACCGGCCACACUGGAACUGAGACACGGUCCAGACUCCUACGUGAGGCAGCAGUGGGGAAUAUUGCACAAUGGGCGCAAGCCUGAUGCAGCCAUGCCGCGUGUAUGAAGAAGGCCUUCGGGUUGUAAAGUACUUUCAGCGGGGAGGCGUUACCCGCACAAGAAGCACCGGCUAACUCCGUGCCAGCAGCCGCGGUAAUAC
rnacentral:rRNA from 1 species